rnacentral:rRNA from 1 species
UGGGGGAGGCAAGCGUUGUUCGGAAUUAUUGGGCGUAAAGAGCGCGUAGGUGGCUUUUCAAGUCAUGUGUGAAAACCUCAGGCUUAACUUGAGGACUGCAUGUGAAACUGGAAAACUUGAGUGCAGUAGAGGAAAGUGGAAUUCCUGGUGUAGCGGUGAAAUGCGCAGAUAUCAGGAAGAACACCAGUGGCGAAGGCGGCUUUCUGGGCUGCUACUGACACUGAGGCGCGAAAGCUAGGGGGGAGCGAACAGGAUUAGAUACCCUGGUAGUCCUAGCUGUAAACGAUGGACACUAGGUGUGGGAAGUUAUCGACGCUUUCCGUGCCGAAGCUAACGCAUUAAGUGUCCCCGCCUGGGAGUACGGCCGCAAGGCUA